GAUGAACGCUGGCGGCGUGCCUAAUACAUGCAAGUCGAACGAAAAGACGAGGAGCUUGCUCCUUUGACGUUAGCGGCGGAGGUGUGAGUAACGUGGGGAUAAUCCACCUAUAAGACUGGGAUAAUUUCGGGAAACCGGAGCUAAAACCAGAUAAUAUAUUGAAGCGUAUGGUUCAAUAGAGAAAGACGGCUUUGCUGUCUCUUAUAGCUGGAUCUCGGCGGCAUUAGCUAGUUGGUAAUAAAACAGGUUACGAAGGCAAGGAUGCGUAGGCGAACUGAGAGGCGGAUCGGCCACAUUGGAACUGAGACACGGACCAGACUCCUACGGGAGGCAGCAGUAGGGAAUCUUCCGCAAUGGGCGAAAGCCUGACGGAGCAACGCCGCGUGAGUGAUGAAGGUCUUCGGAUCGUAAAACCCUGUUAUUGGGGAAGAACAAAUGUGGAAGGAACUGUGCACGUCUUGACGGUACCUAAUCAGAAAGCCACGGCUAACUACGUG
rnacentral:rRNA from 1 species